AUAAAUCAAUGUGCUAGUGUCAUUAAACAAAACAAACUUUUAUCUUUGUACUGCAACUUAUUUAUUUCUGAGCCGAUUGUUUUCUAAAUUGCAUAUAACAAUAGUGUGUGGGGUUUUUGUUCUUUCUAAACCACUUGUGGCAAAUUAAACUGAAAUUAUUUACAAAAAAACCCACGUUCAUGGAGGCUUGGAAAGAUGAACAUCUCAUAAAUGAGUUCUGGUUACCUAUGAUUAUGAAAUAUUAUCCCGUGAAGUACAUGUACAAUGUGUGAAGUGCUGGAAGUAACAAAUUAGACAUAUACAGGGAUUAAGAAAAUAAUCUUGGUGCUUGUGUUAAUUUCAUGUGACAAUUUCAGGAUUAGUGAAUGGCAGGACGUCAUAAUGCAUUAUGUAUAUAAAGUAUGUGCAAAAUAUUACUUAUUUCUUAUUUGGUGUACAUGUUUGUUUUCUGUUUACAAUUUGUUUAUUAUCACUUGUUCAUUAUGUUUUUUGUUAUUGACAUUACUCAGUGUUACAUGACCAACAAUGCAUUAUGGCUGUACACCAGCUGGUGAAACCACUGCCUUUUUUAAAAUGUAUUAUUAUUUUAAGUUUUUUGUCAAACAACUUGUGCAGUUUAGAAAUAACUCUGUCAAGGAGAAAUAAUUAUCAAACGAAGAUGAUCUUAAUUGUAACCUCUGUACAGCAUUUUUUUGUUGGUGUAUUUUAUUUUGUCUUUUUGGUUUUACUUGUGUACAUAUAUAUAUAUAUAGGACCACCUACACCUAACAGCAUCACAUCAGGCUGUUAUCAACUAUCACAUCUGGCUGUUAUCAACUAUCACAUCAGGCUGUUAUUAACUAUUACAUCAGGCUGUUAUCAACUAUCACAUCAGGCUGUUAUCAACUAUCACAUCAAGCUGUUAUCAACUAUCACAUCAAGGUGUUAUCAACUAUCACAUCAGACUGUUAUCAAGUCCAAAUUGAAGGGAGUGAUCCGGGGACCUGAAUUCCCUUCCCGAAAUUCAUAUGCCUCUUUUCUAACAAUUUGAUAAAUGCUAAACUAUAAUUGGAGUGUCCAUUUCAGGAGUUGGUUCAGGGCUUUUGCCCCUGGUCCCCUCCCUGAAUUAUUUGCUGGGUCUGCUGUGGUUGAUUGGUAUACAUUAAUGUGUCUAUUAGUAGCAAGCAAUUUUUUUAUAUAUGCACCAUCCCACAGACAUGCUAGCACAUACAUGUACCACAGCCUUUGAUAUUCCAGUUGUGGUGCACUGGCGGGAAUAAACAAAUAGUCCGAUAGGCCCACCGACUGGGAUAUAGUUGCAGUGCAGUGUUUUCUCUAUCUUUAUAUUUAUAUAUAUAUACAGUAAUAAACAAGUACACAUCAAAGCAAUCCCACACAUAAAUAACUCGGGAAUAUCGGAAUUGAAAUGUGCUUAUACACUUUCAGCUGUCACCUUUAGUUUGACUGUAUUAAUUUCUUAACACAUCAUAACAAAUCUUAUGAUCUGAAUGGCAAAACCAUAAUACAUGAUCAGGGCCAUACCUCUCUGCCUAAUGCAGAGUUGAAUGGGUAUUUGGCAAAAUAGGUGUUGAUUCCAUGAGUCUCUAGUGCCUCGUCUAUAAGUGUCGAUUCCAUGAGUCUCUUAUGCCUCGUCUAUAGGUGUUGAUUACAUGAGUCUAGUGCCUCGUCUAUAGGUGUUGAUUCCAUGAGUCUCUAGUGCCUCGUCUAUAGGAAGUCAACCACUCUAACAAUAGACGAGCCCACAAAAUCAGGCAAGUUGACUGCAUGGAUGGGGUCGUUAGGGACCGAUGAAUUGCACAAAGAUGGCAGACUUACCAGGGCAUUCAAUUCAACAGAAUGACCCCAUUUCUAUCUGUUAUCCAAUAAAGAUUUUCCUUCUUUUUUUGCCCUACUAGUAAGUUAAAUUAUUUGGUUUAUUAUUAUUAUUAUAUAUUUUGAAACAAAAGUAAAGAAAUAAUGUUUGGCAGCUUUGAGAUACAAUGUAGGACCUUUAAUUGGAUGUAAAAGUAGAUUGAAUUGAUUGUAAAGGUGGCUACUUCGAUCAGUCGACUGUAUAUUUAUGGCAUGUCACAGGUCUACUUCGAACAGUCGACUGUAUAUUUAUGGCAUGUCACAGGUCUACUUUGAACAGUCGACUGUAUAUUUAUGGCAUGUCACAGGUCUACUUCGAACAGUCGACUGUAUAUUUAUGGCAUGUCACAGGUCUACUUCGAACAGUCGACUGUAUAUUUAUGGCAUGUCACAGGUCUACUUCGAACAGUCGACUGUAUAUUUAUGGCAUGUCACAGGUCUACUUUGAACAGUCGACUGUAUAUUUAUGGCAUGUCACAGGUCUACUUCGAUCAGUCGACUGUAUAUUUAUGGCAUGUCACAGGUCUAUUUCAAUCGGUCAACUAUAUUUAUGGCAUGUCACAGGUCUACUUCGAUCAGUCGACUGUAUAUUUAUGGCAUGUCACAGGUCUACUUCGAUAAGUCGACUAUAUUUAUGACAUGUCACAGGUCUGGAGUUUUAUUUAUUUUUUUAUUAAAUUUUGUUUUAUGUAAUCCUGAUAUACUUUAGCUGCACGAACAUGUAUACAGUGUCAUGUAGUGUUCAUUUUAGUUUGCAUGAAUGCGUGAAUUCAUUCCUGAUCAUGAACCAAUCAUUAUUUUACAAGUAAAAAUGUUUUAUUAGAAA